rnacentral:rRNA from 1 species
GUCUAUGGUCAUGCCACCCUGAACAAGCCCAAUGCCAUCUGAUCUCAGAAGCUAAGCAAGGUCGGGUCUGGUUAGUACUUGGGUGGGAGACCACCUAGGAAGCCCAGGUGCCGUAGGCG